rnacentral:rRNA from 1 species
GAACGAACGCUGGCGGCGCGCCUAAUACAUGCAAGUCGAGCGAGAAGACGUAGCAAUACGUUUGUAAAGCGGCGAACGGGUGAGGAAUACAUGGGUAACCUACCCUCGAGUGGGGAAUAACUAGCCGAAAGGUUAGCUAAUACCGCGUACGCUCCUUGGACUUCGGUUCAGGGAGGAAAGCGAUACCGUGGGUAUCGCGCUCUUGGAUGGGCUCAUGUCCUAUCAGCUUGUUGGUGAGGUAACGGCUCACCAAGGCUUCGACGGGUAGCUGGUCUGAGAGGACGAUCAGCCAC